AUUGUCAAUUUUUUAAAAUGAAAUCUUUUUCAUUCAGUUAUAUGUUGGACUUUUAAUUCAAAGUCUUUUUGUUUCUUUGUUUUUGUUUUAAAUUUUACUCACAAAGGUUCUAUACAAUUCUAACUAUGCUUAUUUCUAAGUAUUAUAAUUUUUAUAUUUGAAUUGUUCUCUUAGCAAUCAGUCUACUUGCAUUGUACUGCCACAUUGCUAAGGAGAAAUGUUAACCAUGAUAAAUAAAUUAUUCUAUAUGAAAACCAUGUGAGAAGCAGUUUGAACAUAAUUAGGGUCUGCAGUUUGGAAAGAUGCCCCUGAGUUCUGACUUGGAGUAUUUUUUGACAUCACCAUUGUGUUGUUUGUUUUCCUGUGUGUGUGUGCAUCUUGCUCCUCUCUCCCUGUCAUUGUACUCUCCACAGGAUUUUUCUCCUGACAUUCACGCAUGCACCCCCACCCAUCUUGGCUUAUGUAGAAAAUUACUGCCCAUGUCUUUGAGAUGCAUUCUUGGAACACCCAGAACAAAUGCUCUUUAUACCCAAAAGUCUUAGUUUAAAAUCAGACAAUUCAAACAGAGCCUUUAGAUUUGUGGAAAUCCAAUUAUCCACUUUUAUGAGAUAUCAUCACAAACAGAUGAAAAUAUAUUCAUAUGCUUUAAUAUAUAUUCAUAGGUAAGAUUUGUUUGUAAUUUUCUUUUUUGCUAUCUAUGGUUUUGUUCUAGAUAAUGCUGGUUUCAUAAAAUAGAUUGUACACCUUAUGUCAUUUUCUGAACUCUGAAACAAUUUGAAUAGUGUGAUAGAUGUUAAGCCCUUGAAAGUGUGAAUUUACUUCUCAUGAAAAAUAAUCUACAAGUUGUACUUUGACACCUGUUCCAAUUCCUCUCUGUUCAUGCAUUCAAGUUGUUGAAUGCCUGCCCUCUGCCAGAAACCAUAUUAGAUAUGUUUCAGUUUCUACUUAUCCUUGAUUCAAUUUGAAGUAAUUAUUUUGACCCAGAGAUUCAUCAGUUUCAUUGAGAUAUUCAAAUUGAGUGAAGUUAUGCAUAAUCUUCUUUUAUAAUUUUUGAAUCUCUUCUAAUUUGGAUUUUUGUGUUUUCACUUUUUUCAUUAGACUUGUCAUAUGUGUAUAUUCUAUUGCUUAUAUGUAGAGAGUUUGUCUUGAAUAUCUCAGUUCUGCUUUUUCCCUCUAUUUUUAAGUAUAUUAGCUUCUGAUCUUAUUAUUUACAUUUUUCUAGUAUAUUUAUACUUAUUUUCUAAUUUCUUAAUGAAUCUAUAGUAAUUGUUUUCUUCAAUAAUGACCGUAUUUACAGCCAAACAUGUAUCUCUGGUAACUGCUGUGGCUGCAUUUUCAUGUGUUUUUAUAUGUAAUGUUCUACGUUUUCAUUUUAUAAAUAGUUUGUAUUUUUAUCGUAAGCUUAAAAUAUAUUCAGUCAUUUUAUGUGUCACAAAAGAAACAGACACAUUUAAGCUAGCAAAAAACUUUUCAUACAAAGCCUGUGUGUCUUCUGGCUUUGAAUAAUAACCACAGUCACUUGAAAUACUUUAAAUUUUAUGUGAUUAAAAUUAAGGCCUAGAAAUUUAUUAAUGGAAUACUUCAAACCUAAAUUUUAUUUUUAAGAGUCUUUAUCCUCCUAGACUGAUUUUUUUUUGACUAAUUGUGUUCUCUAUUAAGACAUAAGUUAAGUUUUAUUCAUCUUUUUAUUAUCUAAGACAUGUAUGCUUACAGGAACAUAAUAGGUUUGCAUAAAUUUUAUUAAACACAUAAAGGCAGUCUAUAGAAAAUAUCGUUUUCAGGACAAGAAAUAAUCAUCUACUUUAGGAAUCUGAGUAACCACUGGAAAUCUCUGUGUUCUAUUAAUCUGAACAGUUGCUAUUACAGGCAACAGAAAUGCAAAUUUGUUUGAGUAAAUAGAGGGGACUUAGGGUGGCAUAUGUGGGUUAACAGGCACCAGGCAAACACAACAGGAUCACAAGCGAUGUUGUCAGGAUCUAUUGUCCUUGCUCCAUCUUUUGAAUCUGCUUUCUUCUGUGUUGGAGUUCUUAAGGCCCUCUGCUCAUGUCAGGAAAGAUGUCAAUAGCAGCUACAAGCGUAUGGGAUUUACCAGCUAGCAAUUCCAAGAAAUAAUAUAUUUCCCAAGUAAAGCCACUAGGAAGGCUCAAUUCAGCCCAUUUCUGACUCAAUUCCUGAGGCUGGGAGGAUGAGCUCCUCUAAGAUUCCAGGCCUGGGCAUGAUCACACCUCUGUAAUGAGGGCAUGUUCACACCUCUGUAGUGAGGUGUAAUGACGGGGGCAGCUCUCCUCCACCACCUGGGCUGGUGCCCAUCAUGUAGGAAGGUUUGUUUCAGAAGACCAGAGGAUGAAUAUUGGGGCAGGCAACAGGUAAGAGAUGUUUGCAAAAUCAUUGUUUUCAUAAUUUUGAAUGUCCUAUACUUUCAAUUGUAACAUGAUUGCCUGACAUCAAUUCAAAACCCUGAGCUCCCUAGAGAGCUCAGUUGGUGUUGCUGUUCUCUUUACUCUUUCUUUAGCCAUGAGCUUCAACUAGUUCUCAGCUCAAGUCUUACAGCUCCUCUUUUGUUUCUUUAUGUUGAGGAGCGGGGGAAGAUUACAUUCAACUUCAGACAGCUUGGAAAAAGUUAGAAGCAAAAGAUGAAUCUGAAUGCUGUCUGAUAGUCCAUUUUUAAUCAGAGGAGAGCAAUUUUCCCUUCUCAAAGAAUGUCUCUUCACAUCAGGUAUUUGGCUUCUAGGUGCUUGCUGAUUAAUUACUUACAUUUACAUAACAUUAAUCUCCUUUCUAACAAUUUAGCAGGCUUCCAGCCGUUUUCCCCGCCUCAUCAGUCUGGCAGAACAUCCUCGAUCUUAAAAGAGCCACAACUACUUUUGCAAUGUGUAGAUUUUGAAAACUUACUUAAAUAAAACAGAAUAAAAAUCUUAAGCAAAGCUAUAAAUGAUUAUAUCUUCCAUGUAUAUUAGGUAGAUAUCUGAAUGAAAUGCUUGGUCUACACACUUUAUUUUGAGUUGUGUAUAUGGAAAAUAUCUUCCCUUCUGUUUUGAAAUUCCUUCCUUGAAUUCUUUCCCAGAAUCUUAUUCAUUCAUUCUAAGCUCAGCUCCAAUAACACCUCCUUUUGGAGGACCUUCCAGAGCCUCCUGGUCACUUGAUAUCUUUCAUUACAAUUCCACAUCACUAUUUGGGAUUACAUUCAUGCAUUCAUUCAACAGAAAUUUAUUGAGCUCUUCCAAUGUUAACCCCUAUGUAGGUGCUGGGGGCAAAAAUGUGAUGAAAAACAGAAAUAGUCUCUGCUUUCCAGAACCCUCAGUCAAAAGGGAUGUGUAAGGUAUAGUGACUGUGAUGUCACAAAGAUAGGAAUUUAGCCAGGAGGAAAUACUUGCAUUAGAUCUUGAGGAAUAAGCCCAAGUUCACCACACAAGUAAAGAAUGGGGUUGGCAGUACUGUCCUUACAUGGGCCAAGAAGGGUACCCCAUGCUUUCAGGAUCCUGCUGUGUCCUUUCUCUAGCUCUGCACCACCCUAUGUUUCUGCUUUCUAGAACCGGUUUCAACCACCCAGUGCCCCAGAGUUCCCUACCCAAACAUCCCCAAACUCCCUUCCAGGCCUGCACUGGACUUUUCCCCAAGUCCGUACUCUUAAAGGCCAGAAUGUGCUGAUAGUGUGUGUACCCUAGGCCCAAGCUUUGGGGUGAUGUUGGGGAGGGUGAGUGGAGCUUAGAUUAAGUGGUCCAUACAUCUAUACCCAAAAGCGUUUGUUGAAUUGGAGAAAGCCAGGGAGCAGAGAGCAGUGGAGCGGGCUGGCAUAUUCUACAGCAGUAAGUUCCAGCAUGGAAAAAUCCAAGGAGCCUGAAAAUUCUAAAUCUGAGCUUGGCCUUCAGGUCAUUAUGAAGAUAUAUUUGUCACAUAGGAAGACAGAAUGCAUUUUUACAUAACAGUUUGUUGGCUUGAUUUAUAACUUUUAAAUGUAUGCAUGUUUGAUAGGUGUGCUUCCAUUUAUGCUCUUGCCUUGGGCUGCAGAAAUGUUAGGGCAGGCCUGGAAGCAAGGCACAGAGAUGGUUCUGAGCCGACAGAAGAGAGACAGAAAGGUCCAGAGGUGUAAUUUGGGAAUCCAAUCACAAGCAGGUUGGUGUGACCACAGAAUGACUUGGAAAUUGGCUAGUUAUGCAUGUGUUCAUCUUUCCCUCCAGACGGUAUAUUCUCUGAGGUCAAAUGCCAUGGAACAUUCAUUCCUGUGUUUGGCAGAACAUUUUAUACAGAGCAUAAGGCAGCCAAGAAGGAUGAGCCGGUGAUCUCUGCAGUCUGCCCAUAACUCCACACAAAACUUUACCCAUUGUCACAGGAGAGUAUAAGCAUAGCAUAAAGAUCCUCGUAGAUGGACUUUCAGCUCCAUGCUUAAAGCAACUGACAAGAAUCCAUUUCUUUUCAGUGUACAAGUGAAGGGUAAAAGACAGAGAAGGAAGAUAGAGCAUAGGAAAAAGAGUGGGGUGAUAUUUGUCCAUUCAUUUGUUGAAGAAAUGGUUAAAUAAAGGAAUGAAUGACUAAAGACCAGGUUGGCAGGUGAAAGCCAGGGCAGGGGCCUGGGGCAGCAGGCAGAGACACAGCUCUCACAAAUGCAAGAGGAAGACGAAUCAGGCACUCGUCUGUUCUUCAAAGGAUACAGAAUGGUUUUAUUGACCACCUGUACAUGUGAUGGCUUUCAUCCUGGAGGAGAAGGGCAUAUCCACACCUACCGAAUAUCUGUUUCACAGGCAAUGUGCCAAUUAUUUACAUGCAUAAUCUCAGUAAAUCCUUAGACAACUCUGUGGAGGCAUUUACUGAUAUCUCCAUUUUACCCAGGAGGACACUGAGGUCCAGAGAGAUUAAACCAUUUGUCUGAGGUCACACGGCCAGUGAAAUUUUGAUGCAGGAUUUAAAUCCAAGUCUGUCUCUUACCACUGUAUCAUGCUGUUUUCAGAGGUGAGGGGAGGUGUCUUAAGAGUACCAUAUGGCUUCUGCCACUGGGGAGACCACUGUCAAAUUCCAAGAGGAAGAUCAUGAGGGUCUCAACUGAAUUACUGAAGGGGAGAUUGUGUGAGAAGAGACAGAUUUAAGACUUAUCUGCAGGGUAGAAAUUGGAUUGGUGAACUUAAUACAAUGUUUCUUUAUUCAUUCAUUUAUUCAUUUCAAUAUUCACUGAGUUUUAUUAUGUGUCAAGACACUGCAUUUAGUUGGCCCAGGGAAGAAUAAAUGUGAAUAGGACACUGCAUUCAAUGAAUGCUGAUUCUAGAAUGAGCAGCAAACUAAAUCCAGUAAUGAUAUUACAGCAUCACCACAUACUUUCAAUUCUACCUCUUAAAUAUCUCAAUCUAUUUCUUCUUUUCUACCCUCACUGACAUGUGGUUCACAGACCUCAUUAUCUCUCACCCGUUGCUGUAGCAGUCUCAUACCAGGCCUUCCCAUCUUGUAUGUGGCACUAACUCGAGUAUAAGGCCAUUUCAUGGUUUUCUGCCAAGAAUUGUUUUCUCAGCUCAUUGGCAAAACAAACACAGCUUCAGUUCCUAACCUGAAAAGUUUAUGCAUGAAGAAUUUAAAAUAUUAGUAAUCUUUUAUUUAACGUAUAUUUUUUGAACACCUACUAUGUGUGAAGUCUUGAGCAGGCACCAAGUAUGUCACUGCAAGAGGCAUGGCCUGUCUUUGAGGGAGGUACAGACAAGUAAAUAGGCAACCCUAAUACAGUGCUAUAAGUGUAAAUGCCUAAAAUAGUUUAAUGGGGUAAAUUUUGGUAGAAUAUAGGAGGGGCAUUUCUUCCAAACUAAGAGUCAGAUGGAGGAAGUGACAUUUAAACAAAAAAAAUGAGAGAAAUAUGUAUGUUUGGAGAUGCUCUCCAACAGAACCUUUCAUCCUACUCAAAAAUAUUUUGAAUGUAUCUUUUGAGAUAUAGGGAGCUAGAAACAUUAAAGAAAAUAUUGUGCUAUUUUUUUCUGGAACUUGAAAACAGAACAGAUUGUAAGAUGGGGAAUGUUUCCUCACUAAUGACUUUAAUAAAAACUCAAAAUCUACUUGUCAGCUUUAAUAUUCAGAGGCAUGUUAUGAGGGCGCCAACUAAAUUGUAUCUUUCUAAUCCUUUUCUCAGUCAUCUUUUAUCCUUCCUAUCCCCUUUGUUGAAAGAACUGCCAAAGCUAAUUCCCUAUCCUGGAGUUUAGGUUGAUAAAUGGAAAGAUUAUUUCCACUGGGAAUAUUGAUAGGCUCCAGGUCUUGACGCUUGGGUUUUGAAAGAGGAUGCUGCUUUUGUUAAUGGAAAUUCAUGAGUACUUGGAACACAGUGAUACAAUAAUUCCUAAGUCUGGGGUCAACAGGGACCUAUGUUUGUUGGCAGGAGGCACCGGCUCAAAUCAAAUCAGCAGUAACAUUAAGACCAUCAAAAUCAAGAGCUCUUAAAGUGGUGCCAUAUACAAGUUUGAUGCAUAGCUAUAAAUGAUGUAGCUGCUUGAAGUCACAGAAUCUGUCUGUGGUGCUUUUGUUACCUCUACUUUCUCCAUCUGAACUGAGCUGAACACCACCUAAGUCUGAUCAUGAGUUUCCUGUUCCAUAAUGGGACCAACACCAAGGACUCUGUCCACUGAUUUGCUGCAACCAUAACAUUUGCUCCCCCCUUCUCUUUUUCAAGUAUUUCUCACAAUAAAAUAAGUACUUCUCCAUUCCACAGUUGGGAUAUAUAUUCAAAAAGUUGAGAUAUAUAUCUCAACUGUAUAAUGACAGGUGACUUUUUCCCUUACUUUAUAAAUUGAGGUUGAAAAGUUAACUAAUAUGGAGAUGAGUACAUACCUACUAAGUUGGAUCUGGGAUUUAAAUCCAAAGUGUUUGACUCCAUACUCUGCGCACUGACUUUGUUACUCCAAUAUAGAUCGGGCAGCAAGCCAGACAAAAAUCCCAGCUUCAGUUUCUGGCUCAUGAGGUUGACCAACAAUAUUUAAGUUAAAAUCAGUG
rnacentral:lncRNA from 1 species